AAAAAAAAAAAAAAAAAAAAAGCUGUAAAUCCAGGGCCCAAAAGCUCCCUUCAAUGCGAAGUGGAAUCUCUUUCUCCACCUCUUCAAUAUGGCUUGCCCUGGAACUUCCCUUGGCACACAGAAUACAGCAGAAUUGGCUUCAUAUUGUUUCUAAGCCUUGGCCUCAGAGGCCUUGCAUGCUUCCUAACCCUGGCUCUAGGAAACUUGCUGCUGUCACAUAAGCAAGCCCAGGCUAACCUGCUGAAUGUUGGUGUGUCCCAGUCAAAUCCAGCACUGCAACCAAUAGCCAGCCAGCCACCAGACAUGCGAGCGGGGCCACCUCACACCAGCCAACCUCCACCAAGUCAUCAGAUGUAUGAGUGAGAACAGCCCAGAAUGACUGAGCCUGUUCAGACCAGCGGAACGACCAAGCUGACCAGUAGACUUAGGAGCAGUAAACAGAUGAUUGUAUGGAAGCCAUUCCGUUUAGGGUGUGUGUGUUAUUGCUUGCAUCCAAAUACAUCCUAUCUCAUCUAAUGAGAAAAGGCCCUGCUCAAGGGCUUUUGCAGCUAUAGUUGGGCCCCGGAAGUGUCUUUGUGGUCAUUUCUUACUCUAUACACGAGGAGAUCAAGGCUCAGACCAGGUAGUGUGACUGUGGAAGACACUUUCCUUACCCGUCUGUGGCACUUAAAUCAAUGAAGCAGAUUCACAGAAGCGUGCAUGCUCACUGAACACAGUACUUGCAUUCCUACCUCCAAACCUUUGCUCCACCCAUGCAUCCAGUAAGAAUGCCCACUUCCC
rnacentral:lncRNA from 1 species